UAACGUUGCCAAUUUUAUUAUACUACUAUAAUACAUAUAUAGAAAAAACUUAAAAUUUAUAAUCUUAAUUUUUUCAUUUUUCCAUAAUAAAGUUUGGCAGUUUGCAUUUUCAGGAUUCUUACAAGGAAGUGAGAUCUUGAGCAAUAGCAGCGAUUAUUAUCAAAAAUACUUUGCUCUUUACGCUUGGACUUGGUCUACAAUAUUCAAGUUUCAUGCUUCUUCUUGUGUGAUCUCAAUCGCAUGCAGCAUGGCAUAUAAACACCGAAAACUAUUCGUAUCGAAAGCACACGUUCUGUUAUUAUUACCACCUGAUUACGAUGUGUCUACGAAUGCAUAACGAACUACAUAAAUACACACACACAAAGUGUACGACUUCGUAAGUACUAUAUGUACUGACCCAGUGAGGAAUAUAACAGGUGACCCUUUGGUGCCCUUUUUGAUGACAUACAUAACCAACUGGUGAUUUGGUCUGGACCAGAACUCAAAUUAAGGCGCUAUAAACACGAUCUUAUACAAUUUUUUGGAUUUUUGUCGUACUUAUUCUUCGUGCUAUGCCGAAAGUGGAUGGAUCUGCAGCAUUAAGUCUCAUUAAAUCGGCUAAUAGAUUUUAGAUCAGCAAAGCCAUCUGAAGUUUAUCUUUACCUGCCGAAGCACAUAUACAUAAAUAUGUACAUAUGUACAUUUGGUCAUAACUUUAGAUUCUUACCUUGUCAGGGCUUUAGCCCACGUUCCACUGAGUGCUAAGCACACACUAGGCCUACGAACAGUAAUCACAAGUACUCUUUAGUGGCGAAUUUGGUAUUUCUAGACUAAUUCUAAAUAAUUUACUCGCAAACAAUUCUAUCACCCAAAAAUUUCCUACAAGGUAAUCAUAGGUUCGAGCUGAACGAACGCACAUUGCGCAAACAAAUUACAACUGCUACGUAUGCGUGCGUUUGUAUAAAUGAAUGUGGGUACGUAAGUGUGUCCAAUUGAAUGCCGAUUCGUAUAGUUAAGAAUUUCGAAACGACCUAUGACAAUAUUUAGUUGCCUAAUCACAAAAUAGAGUUACUGUGCUCCUCCUCUUUGAUUUGAAAUAUGCGAAACGGACGAAUUUGCAGCGAUUUGAAAGUGGAAGUUGUUCUUAUUCAAAGAUGUAUAAACGUUUUAAUUAAUUCUAGGUUCUUAUAUACGAAUAUAUUGAAAAACAAGAAUAGUAUAUUAUAUGUGUAGUUUUAAAAAAAUAAUAAUGUUAUAAAUCCAUGUGAGGUUUAAUUCAAAAAUUUCA